GGAAACCUUACUAGGGUAAGACAUUGGUAUGAUUGACAGAUUACUUGAUCUUUCUUGAUUUGGUGGGUGGUGGUGCAUGGCCGAUCUUAGUUGGUGGAGUGAUUUGUCUGGUUAAUUCCGUUAACGAACGAGACCCCAGCCUGCUAAAUAAUCACGCUAAUGACUUUUCAUUGGCGAUUGGUUUCUUAGAGGGACAUGUAGUAUAAAACUACAGGAAGAUUGGGGCAAUAA
rnacentral:rRNA from 1 species